rnacentral:rRNA from 1 species
UACCGAGUUUAAACUCCCAACCCAAUGUGAACGUUACCAAUCUGUUGCCUCGGCGGGAUUCUCUGCCCCGGGCGCGUCGCAGCCCCGGAUCCCAUGGCGCCCGCCGGAGGACCAACUCAAACUCUUUUUUCUCUCCGUCGCGGCCUACGUCGCGGCUCUGUUUUAUUUUUGCUCUGAGCCUUUCUCGGCGACCCUAGCGGGCGUCUCGAAAAUGAAUCAAAACUUUCAACAACGGAUCUCUUGGUUCUGGCAUCGAUGAAGAACGCAGCGAAAUGCGAUAAGUAAUGUGAAUUGCAGAAUUCAGUGAAUCAUCGAAUCUUUGAACGCACAUUGCGCCCGCCAGUAUUCUGGCGGGCAUGCCUGUCCGAGCGUCAUUUCAACCCUCGAACCCCUCCGGGGGGUCGNGCGUUGGGGAUCGGCCCCUCACCGGGCCGCCCCCGAAAUACAGUGGCGGUCUCGCCGCAGCCUCUCCUGCGCAGUAGUUUGCACACUCGCACCGGGAGCGCGGCGCGGCCACAGCCGUAAAACACCCCAAACUCUGAAAUGUUGACCUCGGAUCAAGUAGGAAUACCCGCUGAACUUAAGCAUAUCAAUAAG